GGUGAACGCUGGCGGCGUGCUUAAGACAUGCAAGUCGAACGGCAGUCUUCGGACUGUAGUGGCGCACGGGUGAGUAACGCGUAACUGACCUACCCCAAAGUCGCGGAUAACGAUUCGAAAGAAUCGCUAAUACGUGAUGUGCUGUCAGAUUGUGUUCUGCCAGUAAAGAUUGAUUGCUUUGGGAUGGGGUUGCGUUCCAUCAGCUAGUUGGUGGGGUAAAGGCCCACCAAGGCGACGACGGAUAGCCGGCCUGAGAGGGUGGCCGGCCACAGGGGCACGGAGACACGGGUCCCACUCCUACGGGAGGAAGCAGUUAGGAAUCUUCCACAAUGGGCGAAAGCCUGAUGGAGCGACGCCGCGUGAGGGAUGAAGGUCUUCGGAUCGUAAACCUCUGAAUCAGGGACGAAAGACACUUCGGUGGGAUGACGGUACCUGAGUAAUAGCACCGGCUAACUCCGUGCCAGCCGCCGCGGUAAGAC
rnacentral:rRNA from 1 species